rnacentral:misc_RNA from 1 species
GCGAUAGACAGUAACUAACAAAU